rnacentral:rRNA from 1 species
UACGAAGGGGGGCUAGCGUUGCUCGGAAUUACUGGGCGUAAAGGGCGCGUAGGCGGAUGUUUAAGUCGGGGGGUGAAAGCCCAGGGCUCAACCCUGGAAUUGCCUUCGAUACUGGACAUCUUGAGUGCGGGAGAGGUGAGUGGAACUCCGAGUGUAGAGGUGAAAAUUUCGUAGAUAUUCGGAAGAACACCAGUGGCGAAGGCGACUCACUGGCCCUUCUGACGC